UCCAGACUUUUUCCCGGACUCCCUCCCGGCUAGCUGUGGUGCACUAGACCCCUUCAGGCUGUGUUCAUGCAGCCAACCCCAGUUGUCUCCCUGGGAUCUGACCUCCGAAGCCUGAGCCUCAGCUCCCAGCCCCCACCCACCAUGGCAGGUGAGCAGACAAGCAUCUCGGGCUGGUGAGUGCUGGAUUGGCAGAGCCGUGCUGAGGACCAUGGCACACGGACUCCUACUGGCGCCAUCCCAGCCCUGGGAGCUAUAGAAUGAUGUAUACCCAGGAGUGGAAUUGCUGGGUCAUUCAUAUGGAGUCCAUUGACAUUUAAAGUGAUUCAUAGGCACAGAGCUAAUCCCAGGGCAAAGCAAUGCCAUUAGAUGAGUUUUACCACAUGACAACAGAAGAGUGAGACAGGGUUCUGAGAACUAAGUGACAGAGACUGAAGGAAUGUAAACUGUAGCAGAAAUUUGGACACAGACACACACUGAAGUAAGACCAUGUGAGGACACAGGAAGAAGACAGUUAUCUACCAGCCAAGAGAGAGGCCUCAGAAGAAACCAACCCUGUCAACACAUUGAUCUUGGA